rnacentral:lncRNA from 1 species
GAAGACCAAAGGGCCGCUACAGCGCUAGUUGGAAAUUGCCCCAAUGUGGAUGUGUUGACAUUGACAAAAAAUGCAUUUUUGUUCUGACCGAUGAAUGUUCCAGUAAUCCUUUUAUAAUUGGCAUGAAUGUAAUUAAGCCAUGUUGGGAUACAGUUUUCCAUAACCCUAAGAAGCCUCUCUCUUUUGCUUGCCAAAGUUCAGGGUCCCAACAGGCGUGGGGAGAAGCCUUCGCCCUUUACCGGAGAACUGCUGUCUGUACGGAGGAUGGGUUUAGAGGAUAUGUCUGGCCAGCUCAGAGACGAGGAGUCAGGAUCCCCGCUCGAAGUGAGAUUGUUGCCUGUGGACAGGCUCGAGCUGGACCGUCGGGAAGGGACUAUUGUGGCCUGAUUGAAGCCCUUGAUGAGCUGAACACUGUCUCUGUGGACCGCGCACUUGCCGUCGUCAAGAAUGGGCCGGGUCUACGCGGUGACGGAGGGAGUGUGAGCAACACCAGGGCCGGAACCAGGUCGGGGGUGUGGAGCACGGAGACGCGGUGGAUGGUGUGAUACUCAAGGCCUGUUUACUGUAUACUGGGCGGUCAGGAUUUGAGUGCCACCCAGACGCAGUGAGUCUCACACCUGGGGAGGGCACGCAAAACCAGAGCCACUUCUCUCCCACCGGCAGAUGUGCUGUGUCCACUAGGGCCGGGUCUACGAGGCAAGGAGGGAGCAGCGGAGCCAGGACUGGGGGCUUGGAGCACGGAGCAGCGCGGUGGCGGCAGUGGUUGAGCAGCAGCGUCUCCCUGGCCGAUUGGUGGACACUGGAGAGCCUCUUCCUCCCUCCUGCCCAGGCUCAGUUCUCACUCUUUUCUUCUUAGAAUUAAGUUUAUUUUAAGACAACUCAUGUUGUUUUUUAAACAUUUGUUAUAAUAAAUCAAUCAAACUAUUAAUCUCGGUUUCA